GACGAACGCUGGCGGCGUGCUUAACACAUGCAAGUCGAACGGAAAGGCCCUGCUUUUGUGGGGUGCUCGAGUGGCGAACGGGUGAGUAACACGUGAGUAACCUGCCCUUGACUUUGGGAUAACUUCAGGAAACUGGGGCUAAUACCGGAUAGGAGCUCCUGCUGCAUGGUGGGGGUUGGAAAGUUUCGGCGGUUGGGGAUGGACUCGCGGCUUAUCAGCUUGUUGGUGGGGUAGUGGCUUACCGAGGCUUUGACGGGUAGCCGGCCUGAGAGGGUGACCGGCCACAUUGGGAAUGAGAUACGGCCCAGACUCCUACGGGAGGCAGCAGUGGGGAAUAUUGCACAAUGGGCGGAAGCCUGAUGCAGCAACGCCGCGUGCGGGAUGACGGCCUUCGGGUUGUAAACCGCUUUCGCCUGUGACGAAGCGUGAGUGACGGUAAUGGGUAAAGAAGCACCGGCUAACUACGUG
rnacentral:rRNA from 1 species